rnacentral:rRNA from 1 species
AAGUUCUGAUCCUCUGGCUCAGAUUGAACGCUGGCGGGAUGCUUUACACAUGCAAGUCGAACGGCAGCACGGACUUCGGUCUGUAGUGGCGAGUGGCGAACGGGUGAGUAAUGUAUCGGAACGUGCCUAGUAGCGGGGGAUAACUACGCGAAAGGUAGCUAAUACCGCAUACGGCCCUUCGGGGGAAAGUGGGGACCUUUCGGGCUUCGCAAUUAUUAGAGCGGCCGAUAUCGGAUUAGCUAGUUGGUGGGGUAACGGCUCACCAUACGACGAUCCAGUUGGUUUGAGAGGACGACCAGCCACACUGGGACUGAGACACGGCCCAGACUCCUACGGGAGGCAGCAGCGGGGGAAUUUUGGACAAUGGGAAACCCCGAUCCGGUGCCAUCCCGCGUGUGCGAUGAAGUGGCCUCUCGGGUUAAAGCACUUUUGGCAGGGAAAGAAACGGCACGGGAUAAUACCCCGCAACUGACGGCACUCCUGGCAGAAUAAGCACCGGCUAACUACGUGCCAGCAGCCGCGGUAAUACGUAGGGUGCAAGCGUUAAUCGGAAUUACUGGGCGUAAAGCGUGCGCAGUGGUUCGAAAGAAAGAUGUGAAAUCCUGAGCUUAAUCCUUCGAACUGCAUUUUUUAACUACUGAGCUAGAGUGUGUCAGAGGGAGGUGGAAUUCCCGCGUAAAGCAGUGAAAUGCGUAGAUAUGCGGCAGGAGGAACAAUCGAUGGCGAAGGCAGCCUCCUGGGAUAACACUGACGCUCAUGCAUCGAAAGCGUGGGGAGCAAACAGGAUUAGAUACCCUGGUAGUCCAUUUCAAACGAUGUCAACUAGCCGUUGGGGCCUUCUGCCUUGUAGCGCAGCUAAUGUGUGAAGUUGACCGCCUGGGAGGUACGGUCGCAAGAUUGGGAAACUCAAAGGAAUUGGACGGGGCCCGCACAAGCUGCGGAUGAUGGGACACCCGAUGCAACGCGAAAACCUUACCUACCCUGACAUGUCUGGAAUCCUGAAGAGAUUUGGGAGGCCUGCAAGAGAACCGGAACACAGGUGCUGUAUGGCUGUCAGUCAGCUCGUGUCGUGAGAUGCUGGGGUUAAGUCCCGCAACGAGCGCAACCCUGUCAUUAGUUGCUACAAAGGGCACUCUACUGAGACUGCCGGCAGACAAACCGGAGGAAGGUGGGGAUGACGUCAAGUCCUCGCGGCCCUUAUGGGUGAGGGGCUUCACACGCUACGGCACGGUCGGGACAGAGUGGUCACAACCCGCGAGGGGAGCCAAUCCCAGAAACCCGAUCGCAGGUCCGACCUGCAGUCUGCAACUCGACCUGCGCAGUCGGAAUCGCGGCACCGCGGAUCAGCAUGGGUUGUGAAUACGUUCCGGCCUUGUACACACCGCCCGUCACACCAUGGAGUGGGUUUUACCAGAAGUAAGUUGCCCAACUGUAAGGAGGGCGAUUACCACGGUAGGAUUCAUGAUCAGUAAGUCGUAACAAGGU